CCCUUAGAUGUUCUGGGCUGCACGCGCGCUACACUGAAGCUAUCAACACGUUUUCCCUCCCUGAGAAGGGCGGGUAACCUUUUGAAUCAGCUUCGUGGUAGGGAUCGGGGCUUGCAAUUGUUCCCCGUGAACCAGGAAUUCCUAGUAGACGCGAGUCAUAAGCUCGCAUCGAUUAAGUCCCUGCCCUUUGUACACACCGCCCGUCGCUACUACCAAUUGAACGUUUUAGUGAGGCAUUUGGACCGACGCAUCUCAGUUUAACCGCUGGUUUGUGUUGGAAAGACUUCCAAACUUGAGCGUUUAGAGGAAGUAAAAGUCGUAACA
rnacentral:rRNA from 1 species